rnacentral:rRNA from 1 species
GGAAUUUUCCGCAAUGGGCGAAAGCCUGACGGAGCAAUACCGCGUGAGGGAGGAAGGCUCUUGGGUUGUAAACCUCUUUUCUCAGGGAAUAAGCAAGUGAAGGUACCUGAGGAAUCAGCAUCGGCUAACUCCGUGCCAGCAGCCGCGGUAAUACGGAGGAUGCAAGCGUUAUCCGGAAUGAUUGGGCGUAAAGCGUCCGUAGGUGGCUGUGUGUGUCUAUUGUUAAAGAGUUUGGCUCAACCAAAUAAGGGCGGUAGAAACUACACAGCUAGGGUGCGUUCGGGGCAGAGGGAAUUCCUGGUGUAGCGGUGAAAUGCGUAGAGAUCAGGAAGAACACCGGUGGCGAAAGCGCUCUGCUAGGCCGCAACUGACACUGAGGGACGAAAGCUAGGGGAGCGAAUGGGAUUAGAUACCCCAGUAGUC